GCGAGUGGGGAGGCCGCAGGGCAGCCACCACCUGCCUGUGUCAGUCAGCCCAGCGGCGGGCGGGGUGGGCAGAGCGGGCGCCAGGCAGGGCCUGGGUGGACCCCCUUGCCGGCUUACCUCCGCCGGCCUGCGGCUGGGGCUGGGCCCUACGUGUUUGCGGGCUGGGGUGGGGAGGUGUGCCCAAGGUCAGGGCCAGGCGGAGACAUGCAGGCGCGUGUGCUGGCCCGGUGAGAGGCCGCGAGGGUCCUCUGCGUGCUAACACGGGCCGCAUCAGACUCUCCUUAAACCUGCCCUCUUCAUCCUCCUGUCAGGACUUGGCUGGUGGAAAACACCCAGAGGCUGUGGGAGCCAGCUAGGAGGAGACCCAAGGUGGGGCACUGACACCUUCCCUCGCGCGUGGCCCACAGAGGCACCAAUCCGUGGACGGCAUGCGACACAGGGUGGGCGAAGCCACCAAGGUGGAGCCGUGAGCGCAGCCAGCCCAGGAGACAGUGGAUGCAGCUCCAGGAUUACACACUGAAGUUCUCAAUGAUCCUCCUCCUUCUGCCACGUUCCCCUGACGUCCACACUCCAUGGAGCAAAUGGGAUGGAGAGUCCUGUAAUAACAUGGGGUCGACCUCAUGAGGACCUACGAGCACCUAUGUCCUCUGCUCAGAGCCUAGUACAGCCCCUUGCCUCACUCAGAGUAAAGGCCCAUAUGAUCAC